AGCAGCCGCCGCGGUAAUACGUAGGUGGCAAGCGUUGUCCGGAAUUAUUGGGCGUAAAGUGCGCGCAGGCGGAUCAGUCAGUCUGUCUUAAAAGUUCGGGGCUUAACCCCCGUGAUGGGAUGGAAACUGCUGAUCUAGAGUAUCGGAGAGGAAAGUGGAAUUCCUAGUGUAGCGGUGAAAUGCGUAGAUAUUAGGAAGAACACCAGUGGCGAAGGCGACUUUCUGGACGAAAACUGACGCUGAGGCGCGAAAGCCAGGGGAGCGAACGGGAUUAGAUACCCCCGUAGUCCCUGUCUCUUAUAA
rnacentral:rRNA from 1 species